rnacentral:lncRNA from 7 species
UGUCCAAAUGCAAAGUUAUCAGUACAGGAGAGACAUGGGAUUGUUGGAGCGUGUCCAGAAGAGGGCCACAAAAGUCAUCCAAGAGAUGGAAUGCCUCUCCUACGAAGAUAUGCUGAGAGAGCUGGGGCUGUUCAGCAUUCGGAAGAGGCUCCAGGGUGAACCUAGAGCAGCCUUUCAGUAUCUAAAGGGGGACUGUAAGAAGGAAGGGGACAGACUCUUUAGCAGGACCUGUUGUGAUAGGACAAGGGGACAUGGUGUCAAACUAAAAGAGGGGAGACUGAGGCUGGGUAUAAUGAAAAAGUUUUUUACAGUAAGGGUAGUGAAGCACUGAAGCAUAUUGCCCAGAGAGGUGCUAGAUGCCCUGUCCCUGUAGCAUUCUAGGUCAGACUGAACAUGGCUCUAAGCAACCUAGUCUAUCUGUAAGUGUCCCUCUUCAGAUCAGGGAAGUUGAACUUGAUGACCUUUAAAGGUCUCUUCCAACUGAAACAUUUCUGUGAUUUUUUGAAAAUGUGUAAAUGUUGUACUCUCAGACCUGUUUAUGUAUGUUUGUCUCCUAUGACCAUGUCUUUAUUUCAGCAGUCCACACUUCUCUCUGGACUUGCUGUGGUCCCUCUGGGGUGAGGCCCACCAGGCAGGUUCAUCUGGCUCUGAGGACAAUUCCCAUGUUUCCCACUACCUGGACAGUGCAAGGGGAGCCUGCUGAUCUGCAGGCCUGCACCCAGCACUGAGUUUGCCAUCUCAUUGUGUGUUUUAAUGUCUUUCAUGUCAGUUAUGCUCUGAAAUAUUCUCAGUAAAAUAUUCCCUUUGUUCUUGUUUCUAUCAGACAGUAGUAAAUAUAUCCUUAUAUGUUCUGCAGUGCUAAGGCUUCCAUGUUAUUAAUUCCCAUUGUGAGUCCAUGUCCAGGCUCCAAAUGUGUGUGCAGACUUAAUUUGUUCUGAUGAUCUCUCCUUGCUGCUUCAGAGCUGGGUAUGGAUUUGGAAGCAAGUUGCCCAGCACAGAAGUCUUUUUUUUUUGCUGUCAAAGAGUGAACUUCUGUAACUACAGCAGGACAAUUUCUCUUCUCUUACUGUGGCCCAAGCAAGCCGAAGGGUUGGACGCCUAUGCCCUAAUGAGAAUGAAUGAAGAACCCUCGUCGACUCCAUCUAGUGGUGACACUUGUGAACAGCUACCAAAUGGGCUGAGCUAGAAAAGGUGUGGAGAGAUGGAUGGCCGAGGUUAUCAGCACUUCAGUUAUUUCUGCAUUAAUUCAGUGCUUCUGAGACAGAAUGAAAAUGAGACCACCAAACAAGACGUGAUAACAAGACGUCAUGAAUAGCAGGGAGAGGUUGACUGAAAGUAAUUGAUUGUUCACUCUGUCUUCUGGUAAGAAAAUGAGUGUUGGUUUAAAUGAGCAGGUAACUGGCUUAAAGCAAACUGAUGGAGACGCUUCAUACCACAUGUGGUUAAAGCUGGGAAACAUUUCACUGCAGAACAUGCUCAGUGGUACAAAUGUACACGAUGUUACAAACUGUCUGAACAAAUUCACAGUGGAAAACGCAUCACAGGCUAUUAAAUUCAGGGGCUAUCUUUGGCUUAAACAAAUAAUGAUGCCAAGAUUUCUGGCAGCUACAAAACAGUUCUACACAUUUUCCUUGUGCUUUUAUUCUUCCCUAAACGUUUGGUGUUUGCUACUGUUGAAGACUGAUUUGGUACUAUAUGGGUCAUCUGACUUGAUAAAAAUUCUGCUUGUUUUCUUGGGAGAUUUGAAUCAAAUUUUACAGGAAUUGAAGGACCAAAAGAGCCUUACAAGAAAUGAAUUUCACAAAUCACAGCAGAAGCACUUGCCCUGCAGGAAUUAUAGAGCGAAGAAAAAGCAAGAAGAAGGAAACAAACAAUAAUAAUUAAAAAAAAAAAAUAGGGGAAUGGAAAAAAAUGUCAUGUUUGAUAGGAGGUGGAUGGUAGGGCCAUCUUCAAGGGUAAAAAACUUCUUUCCAGUAGUCAGUGUGGUAGGAAGCCCCACAUUUUCCUUCAGCCUUUCUUCAGCUUUGCAAGUCUGAUGCAUUGCCUUUUUGCAUGGCCACAGAGACCUGUAAUUGCAGCACCUGCAGAUCUCCUGAUGGUGGCGUUACUUUCACCCAGAACUACGCAGCUCUAAACCGGGAUUGGAAGAGGGGGACAGCAGAAGUGGGGCCAUGCUUGUAGUCUCUGUGACACUGCGAAAUGGAGACCACAGCUAUAUCUGCAGCAAUCCCUGUCAGGUAGCACUGUCCUGUUGCAGCAUCACUGAUGGAGGAUGUUUUCUUUCCUUAAGGCAACCAACACAGUAUGCACUCCAAUUUUUGGCUCAGGGAAUCAUAUUGAUACAAAUUGCAUGUUUUCCAGGAAAAAAAAAAAAAUUUUAAUAUUGGAAAGUGAGGUUUUGCAGGAAGAACUUAUAUCUGAGUGUGGAGAAGUAUAAGGGUGUGCCAAAAUAGCAGUGCAUUUGGGGCUGGAGCUGCAAGUUGCAGGAGGGCCAGGGUGGGCUCUUCAGCUCCAGCAGGGGUAGCUGGAGGCCAGAGUCAGCCUUGCUAUGUCCAGGCUGUCCUGGCUCACCUGCAGAUAGCCAAACACCCAGCAAACACCUGGGGAUUGACAUAGCCCAUGCAAUGCUCCGGAGGGCUCUGCCAUCCUGCUGCACAAUUGGGAAUAGCUGCAAAAAACACAGAGUGCCCCGGCCAGCACACAACAUGACUGCACCCUAGACCAUGGCUGGGGGGCUCUGUGAAGUUCCAUCCUUGCUGCUUCUGCGGGAGCUAUGGAUGCAGGGCCCCUGCUCAGGUAAAGGGCAGGAGUCACCCAGACUUCCUUUGCAGAUUGCCAGAGCAGUUUGAUCCAACACAUGCACCACGCUAAUAAAAUGUGGGGGUGCUCAUAUCCAUGCGCAUAGGAAUUCUGUGAAUUAUAAUUAACUUUUAUUUAAUUAAUUAUAUAUAAAUUAAUUAUUUCGCUUACUUCUGAUAAUCUAAAAAAAAUAGUAUUUAAAUAUAUAUAUAUUUUUAUUUUAAUAAAGAAGAAAUCUGAGC